AGGAGAGAGAGGGAUUCGAACCCUCGAUAAUUCUUUGUUAAAAACUAUACCGGUUUUCAAGACCGGAGCCAUCAACCACUCGGCCAUCUCUCCGCAAUCGAAUUUCGAUUCUGAUUUAUUUUAUCACAUUAUUACACCGAUAAAACAUGGACAUAUGAGUUGAUACGAUCAUUACUUCCAGAUAGAUAUUAGGCGCCAAUCUAUGUAUACAGAUAGUGUAUCAUCUAUCAUAUCCUGUAUCAUAUCCCCUAAAGUAAAAAAAUAACUCACGAACUCAUGUACGAAUAAAGUCAGAAUAAAGGAAAGACUUAUAUCAAAGUCAGAUAGAAUCCAUGGAUUCAUGGUAAAAUCCCUUUCUUUAUAGUAGAAAGCAGUUUUCUUCCUUUUAUCUUUUUUUUUUUUAUUUAUGGAUUUUUUAGCUGAUAGAGAGAUCAAAUGGUAUAAUUUUUUUGUUAGUAGAUUGGAGGAUUAGAAACAUGACUAUUGCUUUCCAAUUGGCUGUUUUUGCAUUAAUUGCUACUUCAUUAAUCCUACUGAUUAGUGUACCCGUUGUUUUUGCUUCUCCUGACGGCUGGUCAAGUAACAAAAAUGUUGUAUUUUCCGGUACAUCAUUAUGGAUUGGAUUAGUUUUUCUGGUGGCUAUCCUUAAUUCUCUCAUCUCUUGA
rnacentral:tRNA from 1 species